rnacentral:rRNA from 1 species
CCUACGGGAGGCUGCAGUGGGGAAUAUUGCACAAUGGGGGAAACCCUGAUGCAGCGACGCCGCGUGAGUGAAGAAGUAUCUCGGUAUGUAAACCUCUAUCAUCAGGGAAGAUAAUGACGGUACCUAACUAAUAAGCCCCGGCUAACUCCGUGCCAGCAGCCGCGGUAAUACGUAGGGUGCAAGCGUUAUCCGGAUUUACUGGGUGUAAAGGGCGCGUAGACGGGGCUGCAAGUCAGGAGUGAAAUCCCAUGGCUUAACCAUGGUACUGCCUUUGAAACUGUGGAGCUUGAGUGCGGGAGGGGCAGGCGGAAUUCCUGGUGUAGCGGUGAAAUGCGUAGAGAUCAGGAGGAAUACCGGCGGCGAAGGCGGCCUGCUGGAACGUAACUGACGUUGAUGCGCGAAAGCGUGGGGAGCAAACAGGAUUAGAUACCCGUGUAGUC